ensembl:ncRNA ZK682.11 ncRNA
CAUUCGACUGGCGGAUGGAUGAACAGAUGCCAAUGCACAAUGAGUCCCAGAACAGACCUCAUCUCCUUCCGAAAGUUCACAGCUGUGGUUUGACUAAGAUUGACACAUUUUCGUUUUUCAAUUUGACAUUUUGUUCGUCCAGUACUCUGAGUACCUACAUGAUAAUUUAUAGACUUCUGGCUAUUGAAAGAAAUGUUUAAAUAGAAGCUCCAGGGCUCCGAAAAAGUAAAAGUAAAUGAUGUGCAAAAGCUCUGUGCGAGUAGCAGCUGGGUAUAUGGAAACAACAUGCGCAUUCUCUACCGAUUAGACACAGAUGUGCUCCACCACGAGCACAGCUUGUGCUCCGCGCC